UGGGGAAUAUUGGACAAUGGGCGAAAGCCUGAUCCAGCAAUGCCGCGUGAGUGAUGAAGGCCUUAGGGUUGUAAAGCUCUUUUACCCGGGAUGAUACUGACGGUACCGCUAAAGGAAGCCCCGGCUAACUCCGUGCCAGCAGCCGCGGUAAUACGGGGGGGGCAAGCGUUGUUCGGAAUUACUGGGCGUAAAGGGCUCGUAGGUGGCCAAUUAAGUCAGACGUGAAAUCCCCAGGCUCAACUUGGGAACUGCGUCUGAUACUGGUUGGCUUGAAUUCGGGAGAGGGAUGCAGAAUUCCAGGUGUAGCGGUGAAAUGCGUAGAUAUCUGGAGGAAUACCGGUGGCGAAGGCGGCAUCCUGGACCGAGAUUGACACUGAUGAGCGAAAGCCAGGGGAGCAAA
rnacentral:rRNA from 1 species